GCCACCCUUAGGAUUCAGUGCUUUCUUUGAAUCCUUAAAACCUGACUUCUUCUUAGAAGUUUUACCGACAAGGAGAAAUAGAGCCUUUUCUUUCUUAAUAUGGCUCUCAGCUGUCUUGAGCAUAUUUAACAGCUCAGACAAGGAGGUAUUCAAUUUAUUCAUGUGAUAGUUCAUGAUAAACUGAGCGAACAACUUAGAGAGAGAUUGCAAGAUCAAAUCCUGACU
rnacentral:lncRNA from 1 species